AGUGAACGCUGGCGGUAGGCCUAACACAUGCAAGUCGAACGGCAGCACAGUAAGAGCUUGCUCUUACGGGUGGCGAGUGGCGGACGGGUGAGGAAUACAUCGGAAUCUACUUUUUCGUGGGGGAUAACGUAGGGAAACUUACGCUAAUACCGCAUACGACCUACGGGUGAAAGCAGGGGAUCUUCGGACCUUGCGCGAUUGAAUGAGCCGAUGUCGGAUUAGCUAGUUGGCGGGGUAAAGGCCCACCAAGGCGACGAUCCGUAGCUGGUCUGAGAGGAUGACGCCCCCAUCGGAAGGUGAGACCCGGGCCAGCCUCCGAGGGGAGGCACAGGGGGGGAAUUUUGGCAAAUGGGGGAAAUCUUGACCCAUCCAAACCGGGGGGGUGAAGAGGCCCUUCGGGUUGGAAACCCCUUUUUUGGGGAAAAAAAACCAGCAGUUUAAAACCCGCCUUUUUGGCGGUACCCCAAAAAAAAGGCCCGGGUAAAUUCGUG
rnacentral:rRNA from 1 species